AUAUUAUUAAGCGGAGGAAAAGAAACUAACAAGGAUUCGGAUAGUAACGGCGAGUGAAGUCCGAAAAGCUCAAAAUGAAAAUCGAAUACCAUAUCGGUCUUCGAGUUGUAAUCUUAUAGACGUGUGUUCAACUAGCGACCCAGAGGAAAUUCUCCUGGAAAGGGGGACCAUAGCGGGUGAUAGUCCCGUUCAACCUUUGGAGUUCGCGGUCUAACGAUACACUGUCUUCGAGUCGUGCUGUUUGGGAUUACAGUGCAAAAUGGGUGGUAAACUUCAUCCAAAGCUAAAUAUUGGCGGGAGACCGAUAGCGCACAAGUA
rnacentral:rRNA from 1 species